CCUACGGGGGGCAGCAGUGGGGAAUAUUGGACAAUGGGGGCAACCCUGAUCCAGCCAUGCCGCGUGUGUGAAGAAGGCCCUCGGGUUGUAAAGCACUUUCAGUGAGGAAGAACGCCUGGUGGUUAAUACCCAUCAGGAAAGACAUCACUCACAGAAGAAGCACCGGCUAACUCCGUGCCAGCAGUCGCGGUAAUACGGAGGGUGCGAGCGUUAAUCGGAAUUACUGGGCGUAAAGCGCGCGUAGGUGGCUUGAUAAGCCGGUUGUGAAAGCCCCGGGCUCAACCUGGGAACGGCAUCCGGAACUGUCAAGCUAGAGUGCAGGAGAGGAAGGUAGAAUUCCCGGUGUAGCGGUGAAAUGCGUAGAGAUCGGGAGGAAUACCAGUGGCGAAGGCGGCCUUCUGGACUGACACUGACACUGAGGUGCGAAAGCGUGGGUAGCAAACAGGAUUAGAUACCCCUGUAGUC
rnacentral:rRNA from 1 species